UACGAAGGGUGCAAGCGUUACUCGGAAUUACUGGGCGUAAAGCGUGCGUAGGUGGUGAGUUAAGUCUGAUGUGAAAUCCCCGGGCUCAACCUGGGAAUGGCAUUGGAUACUGGCUCGCUAGAGUGCGGUAGAGGGUGGUGGAAUUCCCGGUGUAGCAGUGAAAUGCGUAGAGAUCGGGAGGAACAUCUGUGGCGAAGGCGAGUCUCUGGACAUUUCCUGACGCUGAGGCACGAAAGCCAGGGGAGCAAACGGG
rnacentral:rRNA from 1 species